rnacentral:rRNA from 1 species
CCUACGUGAGGCUGCAGUGGGGAAUAUUGCGCAAUGGGCGAAAGCCUGACGCAGCGACGCCGCGUGAGGGAUGAAGGUCUUCGGAUCGUAAACCUCUGUCAGCAGGGAAGAACGGUCACUGUGCUAAUCAGCAGUGAAUUGACGGUACCUGCAAAGGAAGCACCGGCUAACUCCGUGCCAGCAGCCGCGGUAAUACGGAGGGUGCGAGCGUUAAUCGGAAUUACUGGGCGUAAAGCGCUCGUAGGCGGUAUGUCAAGUAAAGGGUGAAAUCCCCGCGCUCAACGUGGGAACUGCCUUUGAAACUGGCAAACUGGAGUGUGUGAGAGGAUAGUGGAAUUCCAGGUGUAGGAGUGAAAUCCGUAGAUAUCUGGAGGAACAUCAGUGGCGAAGGCGACUAUCUGGCACAUAACUGACGCUGAAGCACGAAAGCGUGGGUAUCGAACAGGAUUAGAUACCCUGGUAGUC